GGCCUGAUCUCCGGCCAUGUCCGCUAUGUUGUCCUUCGCCUCCCCAGCCUUGUUCUUCACGGCCUCUUUUGCUUGUGUGGCCUCGUGGGAAGUAUGCUCUGCAGCUUCUGUGCAAGGGGUCCAGUGUUUAGAAUGACAGGCCACACUUACCUGAAGCAGCACCGUGCAUCGUGUCCUUGGCCUUCAUGGCGAUGUCUCCCGCCUUAUCCUUCGUCUUCUCCGACGCUACCUUCGCGUUCUCCUGCAUCGUCCCGAGCCCCCUGCACAUAGUCAUGGACGAUAACCUUUAGCGACUAACAGCAACAAAGACGACACAAACAAGCCGGCGGCGAGCCAAGAGAUGGAAGAGAGGCGGACUCGGCGAUCUUGCCGCCCGCCCAGUCAGCGCAGGACUCGGACGUCUGCCUGAUGUCCUGCGCGGCCUUCGACGCCUUCACCUCGGCCUUCUCGGCAGCUAUUUUCUCACUGUCCUUCGCGUUCUCCGCCGUGGAAUUUCCGCCAUAAGCGAACGCUGGACUCGGCGGCCAUAUGCAGAAGAAGAAGACUCCCAUCAGUAGCAAACUAGCCACGGAACCGAACUCGAUUCUUCGCCUUGCUGCCAUGGUUGAUGUGUGCACUGUGGAUGGAGAAGGGGUGGAAGGGAACGCGGUUGGUACAUGUUGGGUGGUGUCCAAGAACGUGGCGGACAUGGAAUGGAGCAAAGGCGACGUGGUGCCAGUACGCCGCACGCUGUGUGAGGAGAAGGCACGUUGCCCGCGACCGAGGAGGAGCGAGUUCAAGCGCCGUCGGCCGUAAUAAAAGCUUUAAUAUGUGUGACGAAUCCUGAUAUCAUGGAAGAGAACACGAAGUUUGAGGCAAUUGUCGAGCGGCGUUGGUAGUCGAUGCAAAAGUGCAUGCAUGCUUGCUGAUAAGGGUAAAAAUGACAAACAGUCUCGGGACAACAUCAACUGCUCGAGAUGACGUCUCGCACCUCGGAAUUGAUCAGAACGCUGAGCAAGGCACAUUAAUAUCCUGCAAAAGCCAAGUCCAACACGCUACGCCAUCACUACUAUCAAGAGUACCAGCCUGUCCCCUACAAGCGGGCAGCUCAGGAAGCAGAAUGCUUCCCUAUAAAUACCCCAGAGUUCUAAACGAACGAGAGAGGGGACACAACUCACACAGAAGCACUCCCUCUUCCACCACCCUCUCCACGUCGCUAACUUGAUCGUCGGAGGGGUCGGGUCGAGCCUCCGACCCGACCAGUGUGCAGGUGCGAGACGAGGUUGCCUCUCCCCGACGCUGCGACAGAACUCUCCCCCUGACGGGACAUCCAGAUCACCGCGGUCGACCACCAGGAGGACCCAAGGCACGCCACGCAAGAUCCUUGCCAUUUAGACCCCUGAACGAGUCGCGUCGAUCCCGAGGCCACGGCUUAAACAGUUGCACACCGCAACACUUUUGAGGGCUAUAAAUGCGAAAUUGUCAAUUAAUUAGUCGUGUGAACCAUAACGAUAUGCUUCUGAUAUGGCAAUGAAGAUUCAUUGAGAUUGAUUAUUUCCAAUAUAUAUAUUUUUUCAUUUUGUUGUAGUAUUAAUUUGACGAAAAAUGAGAUAAUUUGGUACACAUUAAA